GAAACAAUUUUUUAGAAUAACCACACCUAAAGGCCAAGCAUGUUAUGGUCAGAACCCGGAUGUCGAACGUAAACGUAUUCAGCAACCACACAAGGCAAAAAUACAAAGUUAAAUUAGUUUAUUGUUUCAGACAAAAAACCUAAGGCUGCGGGACCCGAGUACCAAGAGGCAGCUGUAUCUGCGAGGGAGAGGAGAGGGGCGUGAAAAUCCAGAUGCAGCGUCGAGUCCAAGGAUGACUUCCAGUGCCGUUAUAUACAGGUGAGUGCAGGUAUUUACAGUGAAGGGAGGUUAGAGUACUUUAUCCUUUUUCAGGUUGAGUGGAGACCAGGGAGCCAAAACCAGCGGUGAACCACAAGUGAAACAAAAGACCAGUUGCUGCUGUU